rnacentral:rRNA from 1 species
AAUCAACGCUGGCGGCGUGCCUAACACAUGCAAGUCGAGCGCGAAAGGGGGGCAACUCCCAAGUAGAGCGGCGAACGGGUGAGUAACGCGUGGGUAAUCUACCUUCGAGUGGGGAACAACACUGGGAAACUGGUGCUAAUACCGCAUAACAUCCUCGGGUCCACGGAUCUGGGGAUCAAAGCUGGGGACCGCAAGGCCUAGCGCUUGAAGACGAGCCCGCGUCCGACUAGCUAGUUGGCGGGGUAACGGCCCACCAAGGCUUCGAUCGGUAGCCGGCCUGAGAGGGCGGACGGCCACACUGGGACUGAGACACGGCCCAGACUCCUACGGGAGGCAGCAGUGGGGAAUUUUUCGCAAUGGGGGAAACCCUGACGAAGCAACGCCGCGUGGAGGAUGAAGGCCUUCGGGUUGUAAACUCCUGUCAAUCGGGACGAAAACUGUCCGACCCAAUACGUCGGGCAGUUGACUGUACCGGUGGAGGAAGCCACGGCUAACUCUGUGCCAGCAGCCGCGGUAAUACAGAGGUGGCAAGCGUUGUUCGGAAUUACUGGGCGUAAAGGGCGCGUAGGCGGCCUGGCAAGUCCUGUGUGAAAUCCCUCGGCUUAACUGAGGAACUGCACAAGAUACUGCUAGGC